GCAGCUCCGGGUUCCGUGCAACUUUCAAGUGAGUUGCAAACUCCGCCCAGAGGUCCGAGCGGGUGGCGGGUGCUCUGGGUUUGUGGGGGUCGCCGCAGACAGGCGGAGCCGCGCCGCUGUGCCCAGAGCCGUAGGCGGGGCGCCCCGCAGCAGGAAGUGCGAGUCGGAGCUGUAACCGUCAGAGCGGCUCGGCCCGACGGAAGAGUGCUGCUAGGGCGCCUGGCUCUCGGGGCUUAGAGGUGCGAGCGGGCUCGUUGGCCCGGACAACUGCUGCUCAGCCCCCGAGGAAGCGCCCCGUUAGUGCUCCUCUCGGGGGCUCCCUCGCUCCGCGGCGGCAGAAUGGUGUCAUGGAUGAUAUGUCGCCUGGUGGUGCUGGUGUUUGGAUUGCUCUACCCAGCUUACGCUUCCUACAAGGCAGUGAAGACCAAGAACAUCCGGGAGUAUGUCCGGUGGAUGAUGUACUGGAUUGUCUUUGCACUCUUCAUGGCGGUGGAGACCUUCACAGACAUCUUUAUUUCCUGGUUCCCUUUCUACUAUGAGAUUAAGAUGGCUUUCGUUCUGUGGCUACUCUCACCCUACACCAAGGGUGCCAGUCUGCUUUAUCGCAAGUUCGUCCACCCAUCCUUGUCCCGCCAUGAGAAGGAGAUCGACUUGUAUAUCGUGCAGGCCAAGGAGCGCAGCUACGAGACGGUGCUCAGCUUUGGGAAGCGGGGCCUCAACAUUGCUGCCUCAGCCGCUGUGCAGGCUGCCACCAAGGUGCCCCACCCACUCCAGCAACACCCCCACCCACCCCAGUGCCUUUUGGGUGAUACAGAGCUCCCCCUCUCUUGCAGAGUCAGGGGGCCCUGGCGGGAAGGCUGCGGAGCUUCUCCAUGCAAGACCUGCGUUCCAUCCCCGAUGGCCCUGCCCCCCCCUACCAAGACCCCCUUUACUUGGAGGACCAGGCACCCCACCGCAGGCCGCCCAUCGGAUACCGGGCAGGCGGCCUGCAUGACAGUGAUAGUGAGGAUGAGUGUUGGUCUGACACAGAGGCCAUGUCCCAGCCACCAGCCCGGGCCCGAGAGAAGCCCCUGAGCCGCAGCCAGAGCCUGCGUGUGAUCAAGAGGAAGCCCCUGACUCGGGAGGGCACCUCACGCUCCCUGAAGGUCCGCACCAGGAAAAAGGCCAUCCCCUCUGAUCUGGACAGCUAGAACCAUGCACAAAGCUCAGGCUUACCACUCUCCCUGCAGAGCAUGGGACUGUUUGAAGGGGACCUCCGACUGCACCAGCUGCCCAGGCUCUGCCCUCCCAGCUCCUACCACUGUGGGGCCAUGGGCAGGGAUGCCCCUGGAUGUACCAAAGCAGGCUGGGCCCAGGCUCUAUUUAUUACCUUUCUCAUCCCUCUGCCUUCUCACAUUCAGGACCAGAGCCUUGCAAUCGAAACCCAAAGCCCACCUGGAUAUGUUCAUUCCUCCCUCUCCUCCAAAGUACUUGACUGCCUUCUCCAAGGCUUGGCGUGUGUGUCUGGUUGUAUGUUUUCUGUUGGUGAGUGAGGUCAGGUUUGUGCAGAUUUUGAUAAAGAAAUACACAGAA